rnacentral:lncRNA from 1 species
AGCUUGUCCUUGGGAAAACAUUAAUUUAUGUCGGCGAAGUGGUUUCCCCUCCAACGCUGACCUAUAUCAAGAUCAACUCAACAAGAUCUGCAAAAUUUAUUAUAGACAUAUGCAUCAACAACCGCUCUUUUAAAGUUUUUAUAAAUAGAAAGGAAGAGGGGGUUGGAGAUCUCGAAUGUGGUGAUGUUGGAGAGACCAA